rnacentral:lncRNA from 1 species
ACACCCCCGCUCCCUUUUGCUGCUCGACGUGGACAGGCUCGGCGCCCUCUCCUCACUUGAAGUCAGCAACAACGCCUCGGUAGUGGUCGAACAGCACGCUGUUGGCUCCGUGAUUUUUGGGCAACCCGGUUGCAGUGUCGUCAAACCCCGGUGAGACCUCGUUGUCCGUGCAUGCCCUGUGUUUGAUGUAAUGCCAAACCUAUAAAUCGACAUCGUUUCUUGCAGCCCUCUGUCAAAGACGCGUGACGCUUGCUAGGUGUCAAAUAGAAAGACUGAACCGAAACUAUCGCCAUAUUCGCGGACACCGUGUCGAGUUUAGUCGUGGUAAGUCGAUCUGUUGUUUUCGUUAGUCGGAUAAAUGGUUGGUUUGUAUGGAUACAUUGGUCACGAUGACCAUCUUGUUUGUAGCAUGCGUAUUUUGGUUAUGAUUGAUUAAAUAAAGUGUUUGGUAAAAGGCCGGAAUCUGAGUCAUCGUUGUUUUGUGGAAUUCACGGCGAAUUAAUAAUAGUACUCUGAUUUGUUACUACUACCCAUCAACUUAUUAGUAGAUAGGGUAGAUAUACUGGCCAUGGUACUUGUGGCUUAGAAUUAGAAUUAUCUACUCUUUUGCGUUCAUGCAAUUGUAUGCGAGACAGACGUGCGUUGGAAUGUCUAUUUGUUUAUAUGUAUGGUUCAUUGCUUUCUUGAUACUUGGGCUAAACCUGGUUGGUUUAGAAAGGUGGCUAUAAUUUGGUUUACGUGAUUGUCGAGUACGAUUUAAUAGAUUCGAUGUUUGAGAUGUGUUGUUCUGUGGUGUUGUUUAGAAAAAGAAUAUGCUUGUUAUUUAUAGCACUUGAUCGAUAAGGGUUAUGUGUUUCUUGGAUGAAAUCCUAAUGUAUGGUAACAUUAAUGACUUAUCUUAGUAAGUGUCAGGAACAUAAUAAUAGUAGAAGCCAAAUAUGAACUAAAUUGAAAUGUUUGUUGUUUGGACUGUGUGUCCAGUUUUAGUUGCGUAGCUUGUUUAGGGAAGUAAACCGUGUCUCCUGUAGAAGUGUUACAUAUAAAACUUGUAGAUAAUCUCUUUAUCUUGCUUGUGUAAAAAUUUUAUGACCAUAGGCUUAGCAGUUUAGGAGUUAUGAUUUUUCCAAGUCUAGUUUCAGAAUAUGUCCAAAUUCUGUACAAGUUUCGAAAAUUGGAUUGUUUGAUUAAGUAAAACUGAGAAUCAGCUCUUAGUAAUUAUAAAGAAGUUAUAGUACGUUUUGUAGGCUUUCGAAAAAGUCUUGGAUCACCCCUUUUGGUGGUCUAGAAGUCAAGUUAUGGCUGUUUGAAAUGUAAUGUUUGAAUCUGUCAAAAUCUGGACAACAAUGUGUGUUUGAAUUAACUGACUUUGAUACACAUUGAAUCACCUUCAGAUGAUUAUAAAUGAAUUGUAGACAAUUAUAUUAGCUUUCUAAAAAGUCUAGGAUCACCUGAUUUAGAUGUCUGAAACUCCAGUUAUGAAAUUUUAAAGUGAGUGGCCGAAUUCUGUCCAAAUCUGGACAGAAAUUGCGUUUAGUAUUGUUUGACAUUUCUAUAUAUCGAAUCUCACUGUGAUGAUAAUACCAAAAUUGUGGAGGACUUUCUAAGCUUUCCAGAAAGUCAUAGUUUACUAUUUUUGGAUGCAUAUUUUGUGAGUUAUGAAUAAAACAGUUAACUGUUGUGCUGAUGUCUAGAAAAUCUGCAUGUGUUAAACUGAUUUCUUGGUGUCAUUUUUGUUUGCCUAGGAAGGAUUAGUUAAUCCUUGGUCCUUGAUUGAUACCAACUUGUUGCAUAUGAAGUGUUUAUCGAAAUGCCUGGUUAUACUUGAUUAAUUCAUUUCCUUCUUACUGUUUGAUUUAGACUUUAGUAAUUGGGAAUGAAGUAAAUACUUUGGUGAGUGAAUUUGAAUUAGUGACUAUUUAGGUUUUGUGUGAGUAUGGUGAAUCAAUAAUGCGAAAAAGGUUAGUAGACAUUUAUAUCUAGUAUUAUUGAGUUGAUUCGAUUGUCUUGUGUUUAUAAGCGUGUAUGAGUGCCUGAUACUUGCGUUAGGCCUAUUUAAGUGUAAAAGAUGCGCUUGUGGUACAUAGUAAUAUCUUCACAUCUAGUGUGCUCAUAGGAGUUGUGAUGACUUUUUUUAAGUGUUUACCCUCUUUAGUAUAGAACAUCUAUCUCAUGCUAUUCAUGUCCAUGCUCAUAUGCAUUAUGCAUUUCCAAUAGGUACGUUAGAUGAUUAUGCGAGCUGAAGGACAUGGAUCAGAGCGAACCAUGAGAUGGUAUUGGAGGAUUAAUCUUGUGGAUGCAUCAAGCCAGCACCAGAAUGAAAGAUACUUACCAAGUGGUCGUCAAUUAACAACACUAACAUAGUGUUUAUCC